rnacentral:rRNA from 1 species
CAGCCGCCGCGGUAAUACCAACCCCGCGAGUGGUCGGGACGUUUAUUGGGCCUAAAGCGUCCGUAGCCGGCCCGGUAAGUCCCUCCUUAAAGCCCACGGCUCAACCGUGGGAGCGGAGGGAUACUGCCGGGCUAGGGGGCGGGAGAGGCCGGGGGUACUCCUGGGGUAGGGGCGAAAUCCUAUAAUCCCAGGAGGACCACCAGUAGCGAAGGCGCCCGGCUAGCACGCGCCCGACGGUGAGGGACGAAAGCUGGGGGAGCAAAGGGGAUUAGAUACCCCCGUAGUCCCAGCGGUAAACGAUGCAGGCUAGGUGUGAGGCGGGCUUCGUGCCCGCCUAGUGCCGUAGGGAAGCCGUUAAGCCUGCCGCCUGGGGAGUACGGCCGCAAGGCUGAAACUUAAAGGAAUUGGCGGG